GUCACUUCUCUUGAUAUACACGGAUGUUUAAAUUUUCGCAACAGUUGUGACACAAACUGCGAUUUUUUAUGCGUUUGGCUCCUUAUCAUUCGAUUAACAACCCGGAAUAGCGGCUGUCACAUUUGAAAACAUUAACUACUUCUGAGAUAGAAACUUUAUUUGCUUUUGCUCAAAUAUUGAUUUCAAUUGGAAUUGGAAAUAAUCUCAACAAUGGAAAACCGCUUUUAGAUUUAUUGCGUUUACGGCAAGACAUCUGUCUUAUCUGCAAGCACCACACAAUCAGGAGUUAUAAUUUCCCCCAAACAUUGUUUCAAAUAGUGAAUGUGUGAAAAACUAUCACCGCUGAGCUUUAUGAGUCACUUCGCCAUCUGUUUUCGAGAUCAAACAUUCAAACCUCCAUAAUAAACCCGAAUAUGUGGAUGUAAGCUGGUAGCAAAUAUUCCGAAAUGAACUAAUUUCGUUUUAUUUCAUCACGUCAUCCCACGAGACAAUGGGGAUCUCCACAAGUCUUCAAAAUGUUACAUAUCCCAUUAAUUCCGACAGUGAUCAUAAUAUCGUUAUUGUGGCAAACGUGUGGAAUUGAGUUACAUUAAUUUACAAAGAUAGUGGGGAUAUUUUCCUCAGAAUCCCUAACAAUAUGGACCAACUCCGUCCCCAGUUCCCCCAGUCGUUGAGCGUCGUCGUUCCCGUUCCCGCGCAGAUUAACACCAGCGUUGGGUUCUCUAUUCGCCGCUAUGAGUUCGCCCAAAACGUGCACAGUGCGGUGCUACUAAAAUGCAAACACUCAAAUUUCCUCGGAAGUGAUUGAGUGCAUCGCAAAUCACCACCGAUUAUCGGAUUGGCGUCGGUUUCCGCCACAAAGGACGUUUGAUUAAAUGGUCUUGGAGCUGAUACAAGAAUCCCUAAUGGGGGAAAAAUCGUACUGGCGAUAUUUUAUUAUGCAGGACCAGGACGAUUACAAUCUGGCAAGGGGAGAGCGCACCUCGUCUUCUUCCACCUCACGAAUUAGAACGGGAAAGACAAGAUCUAACAACUUGUAACGGAAGUUCUUGAGUUGACGCGUCUCGACGCCCAGAUUUCGCCCGAAUGUUCCAGCCAUGUGAACUGUGAUCUUGACAUUAUCCCAUGGGUUGAUUGCAUCUUGAUGGACGGAGCAGAUUAGCACUCGGGGAUUAACCCAGCCAUCAAACUAACUCAAUCGAACUAUCCGCCCUCUGUAUGGUUCACUUCUUGAAACUGACGCCUCGAGCUGUUUAUUAUCUUUCAAUUAUUGAAUUACACAGUUGAGUUGAGGACUGUAUUGCGGGAUGGCUGAUAGAAAUAGACAGACGGAUGAGAGAUACAUCACGCCAGCACAGCAUCGAGGACGAUAAAAGACACCAUCAAGGUUACGCUCCUGUCUGACACAAAAGAAAACCGACUGCUGGUAGAAGGAGAAGGAUGCAUUGGAUUUCCUUAAUCACGGAGUCCAUUGUCUUGGGAUAUAUAGUUGGAAAGUGCCCCGCUCUCUUCGCAACCCUUCAGCUAUCGUUGAUAAUUAUAAUAUCAGGCAUAUUGUGAGCGGACUACAGUUAUCGUUUUGUUUAGCGGUGUAGUCUCGCAUUGUUCCUCUAAUUAGAAAAUGGAAACGCGGGGUUUACCACCAAUUUGCGCCACCAAGGUUCGGGAGACCCCAUCCGAAUUUGUAAACCAUCUGGCAAUAAAACAUGUGCGUGAA